GUCAUGAGAAAUGAACAGAGACGGUGACAUUUGCAUAGCUACUCUUUUGACUGUUAUCUUUUGGUAUUACAGCAAGAAAUAUGGUAUAAAGAACCUUAGUCAUAAUGUCACCCAUGUAAAAAUAUAAUGUUAAGGUAAGUUUCUAGGUCAAAAUUCUAAAUUAUAUUAGGCAUAUUUAAAAAUAUCUACUAUCUACUAUUCCAUAAGUAAUGUUGCAAAUGACAUAUCAUUUGCAUCUGCCUUUAUCUUUUUAUGUUUGUGGUUGAAACUCACAUUUAUAUAAACAAAUGUCAGAUGUAUUUCCUUUUCUAUGAUGUCUAUGAUUUUAUUUUUUGUCAUUUUCCCCUGUUGAGCUUCUUGUCUUUUCCUUGUUGUUUUAUUGUGCUGGGGCAUUAAUUACAGCAGACCUAAAAUCAUCCUGAGCAGCGUUUUUAAAGCUCCCACAUGGCACUGACCUCCAGACAAACCUGAAGCAUACUGAUUCAUAGUGUAGAUUUGUAAUCACGAGUCUGAGAAUUUUGAGGUCAUAUACUAGCUUGUUAGCAUUGUUUAUUUUUGACAAUGUGAUUGAUGCUUUUCCCUGGUACAGUGAGAUCCAGAAAGAACUCUCCUGCUGCGUCUGGUUUCCUAGCAGGAAUAUGCCUAUGUGAUCAGCAAAAUGUAAAAAUUCCCAACUGAGACUCUAUUUUGACUCCCAGUGUUUCCUGAUUCAAGCAAGAAAUGAAGUCCUGAAAGGACACUUACUGAGUGAAGAACACAUGACUGAGCCUGACUUCUCCAGACUGCUUCUUGUGACUUUGUCUGAUGCAUAUCCUUUAAUACUAUUGCUAAACUGUAUGCUUAUCUUGUAUUAAACUGUAUUUUUAAGCACUGUCA